GAUGAACGCUGGCGGCGUGCCUAAUACAUGCAAGUCGAGCGAACAGACGAGGAGCUUGCCCCUCUGACGUUAGCGGCGGACGGGUGAGUAACACGUGGAUAACCCACCUAUAAGACUGGGAUAACUUCGGGAAACCGGAGCUAAUACCGGAUAACAUGUUGAACCGCAUGGUUCAACAGUGAAAGACGGUCUUGCUGUCACUUAUAGAUGGAUCCGCGCCGCAUUAGCUAGUUGGUAAGGUAACGGCUUACCAAGGCAACGAUGCGUAGCCGACCUGAGAGGGUGAUCGGCCACACUGGAACUGAGACACGGUCCAGACUCCUACGGGAGGCAGCAGUAGGGAAUCUUCCGCAAUGGGCGAAAGCCUGACGGAGCAACGCCGCGUGAGUGAAGAAGGUCUUCGGAUUGUAAAACUCUGUUAUUAGGGAAGAACAAAUGUGUAAGUAACUAUGCACGUCUUGACGGUACCUAAUCAGAAAGCCGCGGCUAACUACGUGCCAGCAGCCGCGGUAAUACGUAGGUGGCAAGCGUUAUCCGGAAUUAUUGGGCGUAAAGCGCGCGUAGGCGGUUUUUUAAGUCUGAUGUGAAAGCCCACGGCUCAACCGUGGAGGGUCAUUGGAAACUGGAAAACUUGAGUGCAGAAGAGGAAAGUGGAAUUCCAUGUGUAGCGGUGAAAUGCGCAGAGAUAUGGAGGAACACCAGUGGCGAGGGCGACUUUCUGGUCUGUAACUGACGCUGAUGUGCGAAAGCGUGGGGAUCGAACAGGAUUAGAUACCCUGGUAGUCCACGCCGUAAACGAUGAGUGCUAAGUGUUAGGGGGUUUCCGCCCCUUAGUGCUGCAGCUAACGCAUUAAGCACUCCGCCUGGGGAGUACGACCGCAAGGUUGAAACUCAAAGGAAUUGACGGGGACCCGCACAAGCGGUGGAGCAUGUGGUUUAAUUCGAAGCAAUGCGAAGAACCUUACCAAAUCUUGACAUCCUCUGACCCCUCUAGAGAUAGAGUUUUCCCCUUCGGGGGACAGAGUGACAGGUGGUGCAUGGUUGUCGUCAGCUCGUGUCGUGAGAUGUUGGGUUAAGUCCCGCAACGAGCGCAACCCUUAAGCUUAGUUGCCAUCAUUAAGUUGGGCACUCUAAGUUGACUGCCGGUGACAAACCGGAGGAAGGUGGGGAUGACGUCAAAUCAUCAUGCCCCUUAUGAUUUGGGCUACACACGUGCUACAAUGGACAAUACAAAGGGUAGCGAAACCGCGAGGUCAAGCAAAUCCCAUAAAGUUGUUCUCAGUUCGGAUUGUAGUCUGCAACUCGACUACAUAAAGCUGGAAUCGCUAGUAAUCGUAGAUCAGCAUGCUACGGUGAAUACGUUCCCGGGUCUUGUACACACCGCCCGUCACACCACGAGAGUUUGUAACACCCGAAGCCGGUGGAGUAACCUUUUGGAGCUAGCCGUCGAAGGUGGGACAAAUGAUUGGGGUGAAGUCGUAACAAGGUAGCCGUAUCGGAAGG
rnacentral:rRNA from 1 species